GAUUUCUGGGCAUCAGUUUCUGGCCGGCCACGGUUUCGUGUGUUAGUGCUUGAAGCUUUGUCCAUCCUUCCAAUUGCUAGUCACUUUUCUUCAUUGAAUGGUGAUUAGUAUUGGAUCUUUUACUUUGAAAAAAUUAGAGUGUUUCAAGCAGGCUUUAUGCUAUGAAUACAUUAGCAUGGAAUAAUAAUUUAGGACUUCGGUUCUAUUUUGUUGGUUUCUAGGACUGAAGUAAUGAUUGAUAGGGAUAGUUGGGGGUGCUAGUAUUCAGCGGCCAGAGGUGAAAUUCUCGGAUUCGCUGAAGACUAACUUAUGCGAAAGCAUU
rnacentral:rRNA from 1 species